AACCUUAUGGACCUGCGGGCGUAUACCUGCGGAGGGAUCAUUACACGUUUAGGGUGCUUCGGCGCUCUUUAUACACCCACCCUCUGCCUACGCGUACCUCUUAUAGCUUCCUCGGCGGGCUCGCCCGCCGCCAGGAACCCCCAAAACCUCUUGCAUCAUAUACAAAAACUUCUGAUACCAAACCUAAAUUAUCACAACUUUUAACAACGGAUCU
rnacentral:misc_RNA from 1 species